rnacentral:lncRNA from 1 species
UCACGUCUUCUGAAAACCCAUAUAAAUACGUACCUAGACCCUACUCGAUAGCAUCCCAUAACCAGCCACCUCUUUCCCUUGAAGCUCUCCAAUCUAGAUCUAUUAGCAACGGUAGACAAGGCAAUCGAUAACUCGAAGGCCCUCGUCAUCGCCCAGACUAAGCCUCUCGCUGUUGUGCCACCGAAGCCUCUCACCGUUGUGCCGCCGAAGCACGUCGCCACAGUACCCCAGCGCUAUGAUCAAGCCUACUACAUGCAAGAACCAUCUGAUCCUUCUCCUACAAGGCGAUCGCUACAAGGAAUUGCUUAAGGGAAGCAGGUCGCUAUGCCCAAGGGUACUCCACUUCUCCAACCUAGGGAGAAUGAGCGGCUCGUGUCAGUCCAAACCGACAAGAACAGGAAGCUGAUCUGUGCCUAGUACACCACCACUCGUCCAGUUAUCCAAGGCGUCCGGGCUAACCCUAACGAGGUGUGCUACGUCAAGCAUCUCGCACCGUCACCUAAGCCCAAGAGGAAGAGAGCAACAUUAGCACUAGCACCGGAGAAAGCCACCAAGCAGCCAGCUCCUACCUUGCGCACCCUCAGCGAAAAACUUGAAGGCCUCUCUGACAUUGUCAGGGGGAUGGAGAAGUCCAACAAUCUAAGGGACAAGCUUAUAGAAGGCAUGGACAAGCAGUUAGGGAUUAGCUUCCAAUUAAUCGCAGCCCUAGGAGGGAUAAAGAUAAGCUUGAAGCAGAGAUUGCAGCCCUGCAUGAAGAAAUUCAGGGCCUCAACAAGAAAGGGCAGCCGUAGUUGCCCAGUUACUUAUUAAUAAGGCACAAUUCCGCUAGGUUUGGUUAGUUAGUUAGGUCAGUCAAGUCAUAAAAAUUUUCUUAGGUCAAAGCCCAUCGAGCUAGGGCAGUCGUUAGCUCAAUCGUUAAAGCGUUUGUUCAAUUAUCACCAUCAUGAAUAAAUAAAGUGUCUUAUCUUUUAUCUAGUCUAUUCGGUAUUUUUGCAUGUGUUUGUCUCCACAUAUUGCGUAGGAAAGUAUAUAGGAAAACAAGUGUGGGGGAGGCACAUUGCCUAGAGGUGGGGCCGGCCGGCGCCUAGGUGGGGCCGGCCGGCGCCCUGUUCGCUCAUCUCCGCUUCCGCUUCGGUCACGGUUAGGUUUGAUUUAUUUAUAUUAUAAUAGCAUAUAUUUUAUCUUUCAAUUAUCAUCCGAAUCGUAAACCUCUAUAUUACACAUUUUUAAGAAAGAAUAAUCACUAUCUAUGACUUGAAAAAAAUAAAUUGUAUAACAACUUUUCCAGAGUCAUGGUUGUGAAAUUUAUAUGUACUUCAUGCUUGCUUAAGUUAUUGAGGAAAGAGAGAUAGCAAAAUAAUGAGUAUUCAAUUCAUGAAAAUUUGUCUUUGGAGAUUUUCUUUUUAAAAAGGUGAAAACAAUUAGCUUCACCUCUCUUUGUAUUGGAAUCAAAUAAUAAUAUCAUCAUUAUGACUUUGGUAGAGAGAUUUAUCAUAUUCCUAAAAUAAAAACAUAAGACACUCUCUUAAGCACUAUUAUGAAGGAGGCAUGAGCUCUUCAUAAAGAAAUCUGAGGAAAUAAAAAGGGACAAGUGUCCAAAAACUCAAAAAGAUAGAUCACGAGGAAAUAAAAAGGGACAAUUGUCCGGAACCUCGAUCUGAAAAAAAAAGAGAGAAGAAAAAAAAGAGAAAAGAAAGAGAGCUCAUGUUUCCUCCUACAUAAUAUGCUAAGGAAGUGAAUAAUUUGUCUGAUCUAUGAAUAUGAUAUUUUCCUCCCUGGUGAUAACAUCAAAUUAAUAUCAUAAUCAUUGAUGUCACUACAAUUAAGAGAAGGUUGAAGCUAUGUUUUAUUUGAAAACUUCACUAACUCUCUAGUAGACAAAAUUUAAGAAGAGAGUUAUCUACUUUAAGCUAUCAUACUCUGCAACAGCUAUAGAAUUCAUGAUAAGCACUUUAAAUUUCCACAGUGCAUGAAGCCUAGAUCAGUUUUAUAUAAUUUAAUUUCCAAGUUAUGCAUUAAAUAUUCACUCAGUAUGAUGAAACCAACCUUUUUCUCAGGACGAGUAAAAGCCUAAGUGUGGGGGUAAUUGUUGACACUUGUUAACUUCUAAAAUUUAUUAGCAUUUAUUUCUCCACCAGAAAUGAAUAUCCACUAGAAUAGGGUUAUCACUAACAAUUUCCAUGAGUUUUGUAUAUUCUGUAUUCUCCAGGGAUUAUUCCAAAAAGUGCUAAAAAGAGGGAUUUAAGUGCUAAUCGAUCACGAAACUUAGCCGCGACGAAAGGAUGACACCGGAUGAUUCAGAAACACUCUAGAAGACACUCGACGCGAGGGGGGAGCCAACUGCCACCAGGUGGGGCUGGCCGGCCCCACCCUAGCGCCGGAGGGCCCCGUAGGGUUAGGGUUUGCUCCUCGUUCUAGAAGCUUCCUCCACCGCCUCUACGAAGCCAUCUCCACUGCUUGUUAAGUCGGUUUGAUCCAACGGCACGCGUUCACCCCACCAGGCUAAACAUAGAAGGCAAGACCCCCCUGGAGGACUCCAGAUCAAGAGAUGAAGAGCCAGAGCAUUAGAUAGAGAUCCACUAGAUCUAGGCUAGCAAUAAAGAUAGAGAUUAGAGAGAGAUAGAGUAGAGGAGUAGAGAUUGGGAGGAGUCCCGGCCUGUCGGAGCUUCCUCAGGAGCUGUAUUCUUCGGUAUUCGGCUCCCUCACUCGGAACCGCGUUCUGAGGUACUUUUGUAUUUACCCUUCUAAUUCAAGUAAGCAACUUGUUUGUAUUCAUUCUUUGGUUUGCAACUCAUAGUAUAUUGAGUACUACGAUUUAGGUAGCUCCUAGGUCGGAGUAGUGAUUCGUAGCGUAGACGUGGUGUCUGGACUAUGGUUCCUUGUGAAUGUCCUCUGAUCAGCCGAACAGUGGUAGUUCGUGUAGGGGACUUUAUAGCUGCAUUGAUUCCUCUAUAGUCUACUUCCCAUUGAUAGGAUUGAUAGUCUUAUAGGUGCCUGAUAGGGGAUUACUCUGAUUCUUCCCCUAUUCGGGUUACUUGCCCGAUAAGACGAUACUAUACAAAGUUUACCAACGAGAGUACAUUAGUAUUUCCUCAUCAUCAAUAGUUUCUAGAUGGUUUGUGCCCUCUUUGAUUAAGAAAUUACAGGCUAAGUCAUAAAUCACCUACUGUUCCUUUGGGUUCGAUAUUAAAACCGGGUUGAUCUUGGUGAAGUGCUGAUCAGUAUAUAUCUGUGCGCUUGUGGAUAAUCUGAUUAUAAUCAUUAUUAGGGUGCACUUAAUUUAUACCAACAGUGGUGAGGAUGGUGAUGAAGAUGCUGCUGUGAAGGACCC